rnacentral:ncRNA from 1 species
AAAAGACUUAGUCCUAACCUUACUGUUGGUUGUUGCUAGAGUUAUACAUGCAAGUAUCCGCGCUCCAGUGAAAAAGCCCUGGACACCUUCCAAGAAGUAGAUAGGAGCGGGCAUCAGGCACACCUUCAACUGUAGCCCAAGACGCCUUGCACUUGCCACGCCCCCACGGGCCCGCAGCAGUAGUAAACAUUAAGCAAUGAGUGUAAACUUGACUUAGUCAUAGCAAAUUAGGGUUGGUAAAUCCUGUGCCAGCCACCGCGGUCAGACAGGAAACCCGAAUUAACUUUAUAACGGCGUAAAGCGUGGUCACAUGCUAUCCGACUAGCUAAGAUUAAAAAGCAGCUGAGCCGUAACAAGCUAAAGAUGCCCAUAAGGCCUCCCUCUGUAAAGAAGAUCUUAGUACAACGAUUAAUUGAACUCCACGAAAGCCAGGGCCCAAACUGGGAUUAGAUACCCCACUAUGCCUGGCCCUAAAUCUUGAUGCUUCACCCCCUACUUAAGCAUCCGCCCGAGAACUACGAGCACUAACGCUUAAAACUCUAAGGACUUGGCGGUGCCCCAAACCCACCUAGAGGAGCCUGUUCUGUAAUCGAUGAUCCACGAUAUACCCUACCAUUUCUUGCCAAUUCAGCCUAUAUACCGCCGUCGCCAGUCCACCCCCCCUGAAGGUUCAACAGUGGGCGCAAUAGCCUAACCACGCUAAUAAGACAGGUCAAGGUAUAGCCUAUGGAAUGGAAGCAAUGGGCUACAUUUUCUAGAUUAGAACAUACGGCAAAGGGGAAUGAAACAUCCCCUGGAAGGCGGAUUUAGCAGUAAAGUGAGACAAUCGAGCUCUCUUUAAGCCGGCCCUGGGGCACGUACAUACCGCCCGUCACCCUCCUCGCAGGCGACCAAACUCUCUAUACACUAAUAAGCUAAUCAGCUGAAGAGGAGGUAAGUCGUAACAAGGUAAGUGUACCGGAAGGUGCACUUAGACUACC